rnacentral:rRNA from 1 species
GAGAGCCUACGGGGGGCAGCAGUAGGGAAUCUUCCACAAUGGACGAAAGUCUGAUGGAGCAACGCCGCGUGAGAGAAGAAGGGUUUCGGCUCGUAAAGCUCUGUUGGUAGUGAAGAAAGAUAGAGGGAGUAACUGGCCUUUAUUUGACGGUAAUUACUUAGAAAGUCACGGCUAACUACGUGCCAGCAGCCGCGGUAAUACGUAGGUGGCAAGCGUUAUCCGGAUUUAUUGGGCGUAAAGGG